UCGUCCUUACGGAUGAAGCCUUCGGGCGCCAGAAGAGCAGCCUGCGUCCCAUUAUUUAGUCCUAGUUGGUGAGGUAACGGCUCACCAAGGGUACGAUGGGUAGCUGGUCUGAGAGGAUGAUCAGCCACACUGGAACUGAGACACGGUCCAGACUCCUACGGGAGGCAGCAGUGGGAAUAUUGCGCAAUGGGCGAAAGCCUGACGCAGCCACGCCGCGUGAGUGAUGAAGGCCUUCGGGUUGUAAAGCUCUGUCGGGAGGGAAGACGGGAGAAAUCCCAGACGGUACCUCGCAAGAAAGCACCGGCUAACUCUGUGCCAGCAGCCGCGGUAAUACAGAGGGUGCAAGCGUUGCUCGGAUUUACUGGGCGUAAAGCGUACGCAGACGGUCACGCAGGUCGGAUGUGAAAGCCCCGGGCUCAACCCGGGAACUGCAUUCGAAACCAUGUGACUUGAGGAUGGUAGAGGAGAGCGGAAUUCCCGGUGUAGAGGUGAAAUUCGUAGAUAUCGGGAGG
rnacentral:rRNA from 1 species